AAGAACAACGAUAGCCAAGUCGUCUAAGGCGCAUGGCCUAAAGAGAACUCGGACUAACUUACCAGCCAGGCGUGGGUUCGAAUCCCAAGCUGGUCUUA
rnacentral:tRNA from 1 species